AGAGUUUGAUCCUGGCUCAGAUUGAACGCUGGCGGCAUGCCUUACACAUGCAAGUCGAACGGUAACGCGGGGCAACCUGGCGACGAGUGGCGAACGGGUGAGUAACACAUCGGAACGUGCCCAGUAGUGGGGGAUAGCCCGGCGAAAGCCGGAUUAAUACCGCAUACGACCUACGGGUGAAAGCAGGGGAUCGCAGGACCUUGCGCUAUUGGAGCGGCCGAUGGCAGAUUAGGUAGUUGGUGGGGUAAAAGCCUACCAAGCCGACGAUCUGUAGCUGGUCUGAGAGGACGACCAGCCACACUGGGACUGAGACACGGCCCAGACUCCUACGGGAGGCAGCAGUGGGGAAUUUUGGACAAUGGGCGCAAGCCUGAUCCAGCCAUGCCGCGUCGGGAAGAAGGCCUUCGGGUUGUAAACCGCUUUUGUCAGGGAAGAAACGGUCUGGGUUAAUACCCUGGGCUAAUGACGGUACCUGAAGAAUAAGCACCGGCUAACUACGUGCCGGCAGCCGCGGUAAUACGUAGGGUGCGAGCGUUAAUCGGAAUUACUGGGCGUAAAGCGUGCGCAGGCGGUUAUGCAAGACAGGUGUGAAAUCCCCGGGCUCAACCUGGGAACUGCAUUUGUGACUGCAUAGCUAGAGUACGGUAGAGGGGGAUGGAAUUCCGCGUGUAGCAGUGAAAUGCGUAGAUAUGCGGAGGAACACCGAUGGCGAAGGCAAUCCCCUGGACCUGUACUGACGCUCAUGCACGAAAGCGUGGGGAGCAAACAGGAUUAGAUACCCUGGUAGUCCACGCCCUAAACGAUGUCAACUGGUUGUUGGGAGGGUUUCUUCUCAGUAACGAAGCUAACGCGUGAAGUUGACCGCCUGGGGAGUACGGCCGCAAGGUUGAAGCUCAAAGGAAUUGACGGGGACCCGCACAAGCGGUGGAUGAUGUGGUUUAAUUCGACGCAACGCGAAAAACCUUACCUACCCUUGACAUGUCUGGAAUCCCGAAGAGAUUUGGGAGUGCUCGAAAGAGAGCCAGAACACAGGUGCUGCAUGGCCGUCGUCAGCUCGUGUCGUGAGAUGUUGGGUUAAGUCCCGCAACGAGCGCAACCCUUGUCAUUAGUUGCUACGAAAGGGCACUCUAAUGAGACUGCCGGUGACAAACCGGAGGAAGGUGGGGAUGACGUCAGGUCAUCAUGGCCCUUAUGGGUAGGGCUACACACGUCAUACAAUGGCCGGUACAGAGGGUUGCCAACCCGCGAGGGGGAGCCAAUCCCAGAAAACCGGUCGUAGUCCGGAUCGUAGUCUGCAACUCGACUGCGUGAAGUCGGAAUCGCUAGUAAUCGCGGAUCAGCUUGCCGCGGUGAAUACGUUCCCGGG
rnacentral:rRNA from 1 species